rnacentral:rRNA from 1 species
AUGCACGUCGAGGAGGACCAGGAUGCCAUUUCCUGGCGCCUUGAGCCGUCUGGCCGCUUCUCCACGAAGUCCUUGUACGCCGCCAUCGCGCCCUUGACGGCCCCGGAACCCUUUAGCCUGAUCUGGGACAUCCGCCUACCUCUAAAGAUCAGGAUCUUCCUAUGGCAAUGGAUCUGUGGACGCCUCCCCUCUGGGGUUGAAGUCCUCAAGCGUAACGGCCCGGGCGAUGGGAGGUGUCCCAUCUGUGGCACGAUCGAGAAUGCUAACCACAUCUUCUUCUGGUGCUCUACUGCCCAGUUCCUGUGGGCUUGCUUCCGUGAAACGGUGGACAGUGGUGCAAUACCAACUUCCCCAACUUACUUGCGGAACUCAACGCCUCCCCUACUCGCUACCGCCAUAUUAGAUGGUUGUGCGUUGGGGUCCUCGCCUGGACGCUUUGGAACAUUCGCAACAAGCUUGUCAUUCAGAAGGUGCCUCUUCGACGUGCGACUGACGCUAUCUUCAAAAUGUGUGGUUACUUGCAGUUUUGACGGCCGCUUAGCCGCCCCCAGGACCGGGACGUCAUCAUCACCCUCCUCACCGACCUUCGCUCGAUGGCUCUCCGCAUGGCCCCCCCGCUGCCGCCCCCUCCGCCAAAGCCGGACUAGGCCGUCUGGUAGCUUUGUGGUGUGUGUGUUUUUGUGUUUAGGGCUUGUUGUGCUGUGUCCUCAGCAUUGA